AUUGAACGCUGGCGGAAUGCUUUACACAUGCAAGUCGAACGGCAGCAUAGGUGCUUGCACCUGAUGGCGAGUGGCGAACGGGUGAGUAAUACAUCGGAACGUGCCCAGUCGUGGGGGAUAACGUAGCGAAAGUUACGCUAAUACCGCAUACGAUCUAUGGAUGAAAGCGGGGGACCGUAAGGCCUCGCGCGAUUGGAGCGGCCGAUGUCAGAUUAGGUAGUUGGUGAGGUAAAGGCUCACCAAGCCAACGAUCUGUAGCUGGUCUGAGAGGACGACCAGCCACACUGGGACUGAGACACGGCCCAGACUCCUACGGGAGGCAGCAGUGGGGAAUUUUGGACAAUGGGCGCAAGCCUGAUCCAGCCAUUCCGCGUGCAGGACGAAGGCCUUCGGGUUGUAAACUGCUUUUGUACGGAGCGAAAAGCCUUGGGUUAAUACCCUGGGGUCAUGACGGUACUGUAAGAAUAAGCACCGGCUAACUACGUG
rnacentral:rRNA from 1 species